AAUAAGUGCAGUUUUGCACUAUUCAUCUUCAACGUUUGACCGUUCAUCUUAUUUGAAAAAUUUUUAUGAUUAUUAUUUUUAUUGUUAUUAUAUGAUAAAAUAUGAAUAGUACUUUAUGUGUGACUAAUUUUUUUAAAAUUUUUCAAAUAAGACGGACGGUCAAACGUUGGACAUGGCUUUCGACGACUACACUUAUU
rfam:Oryza nivara chromosome 10, whole genome shotgun sequence.